UACGGGGGGGGUAAGCGUUGUUCGGAAUUACUGGGCGUAAAGCGCGCGCAGGCGGCCUUUUAAGUCUGCUGGUGAAAUGCCGGGGCUCAACCCCGUGCCCGCCACAGAUACUGGGAGGCUGGAGACAUGUAGAGGCAAGCGGAAUUCCGGGUGUAGCGGUGGAAUGCGUAGAGAUCCGGAAGAACACCGGAGGCGAAGGCGGCUUGCUGGGCAUGGUCUGACGCUGAGGCGCGAAAGCGUGGGGAGCGAACAGG
rnacentral:rRNA from 1 species